AUAUGUGUGCAAGUGUGUGUGUGUGUGUGUGCAAGUGUGUGUGCGCAUGUGCAUGUGUGUGGAAAGUAUGGUCUGGGUGGCUGUAAGACUGGCCCCUCUUGUCCCCUCUGCAGGCCCAGCCCAAUAGGAAGCACCUGAUCCACACUCUUUCUAGCCCCAGGGAUGCUCAGGAAAGCAGCCUUUCUUUAGGGCUGUCAUCUGUUCUGGGGAUCUGUUGCUGUUUCUUGGGCCCACAGAAUACACUCCACACCUCGGGACUCUAUAAUAUUGGACAAGGCUGGAAGGCCCAUUUGGCUCCUGCAGCCUCUUAUGCAGGAGGACCUCCUGAGGCUUCGAGCAGGAGCUGGUGCACACCUGGAGGAGAGUGCUGGUGAAUGGCAGGUGUGUGCCUCAGUGUCCUUGCUGCCUGGGUGUCAGCCCUGCUUCACCACUGGCCCUUUGUCUCUGUCCCCUCCACUGGCCUGUUGAAGCACAGAGACCCUCCGGGUACUUUCCUUCCUCUGGGCUUCCACUCAUGCUAUUCCCUGCUCCCUUCUUCUACCUGGAGACCCCCAUUCCUCCUCCUCCUCUGCUGCCCUCACCUCCACCUGGGCCCUCCCAGCUCCUGGGAGAUGGCUAAACCCCACUCCCCACCCGCUAGUCAUCCUCUUCAGCGGUCCUCCCAGAGCUGUCCUCGGCAUGGCAGCCUCCACAGCCCCUGGGUGUCACCCCCGGUUUCGUGUCUGCCUCGGACUCCAGACCUGCCCCUCCCAGGCUGGCCCAGAUGGAUCCUCUGCAGUGACUAACCCAAACCAGCACCAGGCAGGGACCCAAUAAACC
rnacentral:lncRNA from 1 species